rnacentral:rRNA from 1 species
GGGGAAUAUUGCACAAUGGGGGAAACCCUGAUGCAGCGACGCCGCGUGGAGGAAGAAGGUCUUCGGAUUGUAAACUCCUGUUGUUGGGGAAGAUAAUGACGGUACCCAACAAGGAAGUGACGGCUAACUACGUGCCAGCAGCCGCGGUAAAACGUAGGUCACAAGCGUUGUCCGGAAUUACUGGGUGUAAAGGGAGCGCAGGCGGGAAGACAAGUUGGAAGUGAAAUCUAUGGGCUCAACCCAUAAACUGCUUUCAAAACUGUUUUUCUUGAGUAGUGCAGAGGUAGGCGGAAUUCCCGGUGUAGCGGUGGAAUGCGUAGAUAUCGGGAGGAACACCAGUGGCGAAGGCGGCCUACUGGGCACCAACUGACGCUGAGGCUCGAAAGUGUGGGUAGCAAACAGGAUUAGAUACCCUGGUAGUCCACACCGUAAACGAUGAUUACUAGGUGUUGGAGGAUUGACCCCUUCAGUGCCGCAGUUAACACAAUAAGUAAUCCACCUGGGGAGUACGACCGCAAGGUUGAAACUCAAAGGAAUUGACGGGGGCCCGCACAAGCAGUGGAGUAUGUGGUUUAAUUCGACGCAACGCGAAGAACCUUACCAAGUCUUGACAUCCCUUGACGAUGCUGGAAACAGCAUUUCUCUUCGGAGCAAGGAGACAGGUGGUGCAUGGUUGUCGUCAGCUCGUGUCGUGAGAUGUUGGGUUAAGUCCCGCAACGAGCGCAACCCUUAUGGUCAGUUACUACGAAAGAGGACUCUGGCCAGACUGCCGUUGACAAAACGGAGGAAGGUGGGGAUGACGUCAAAUCAUCAUGCCCUUUAUGACUUGGGCUACACACGUACUACAAUGGCGUUAAACAAAGAGAAGCAAGACCGCGAGGUGGAGCAAAACUCAGAAACAACGUCCCAGUUCGGACUGCAGGCUGCAACUCGCCUGCACGAAGUCGGAAUUGCUAGUAAUCGUGGAUCAGCAUGCCACGGUGAAUACGUUCCCG